rnacentral:lncRNA from 1 species
UGUUAAGGCAGCACUCUUACAAGCAGGGAGAGCUCUGAAGCAGCCAGGACCGCACCUGAAUACUGUGCUGGCCGGGUACAUCUGUCUCAUUGUGGAGACAUUUCUGAGAUACCACGACAGGAGCAUUUGCACGGGCAGCGAAGGAGUCAUGGUGCUAAGAUCAACUCAGUGCAAAGUGGUGUGUGUCACGUACAGACAAAGAUCAGCCCACAUAUUCUUCUGGCAUUUGGACUCCAAGUUUGAAAACAAGAAAUCAAUAAAUGCUUAAUGGGACUCGGACU